GUAGCAUCAUUAANAACGUCGGCCUCGUACGUAGCAUAAAAUGCUAGUAUGGCACGACAGUCACAAACGCUUCAAGCAUUAAAUGCUUUUUUAAGGGGCAAGUAUCCGAUAUCCCACCGAGUUACCCUCGCGGCAUUCAAAAUCCGAGAACACGAGCCAAUACCCCGCAAACCAAGCCACUGGCCAUAAGAGGCGCCACACUAGUGUGGU
rnacentral:misc_RNA from 1 species